GUGACUGCGUACCUUUUGUAUAAUGGGUCAGCGACUUAUAUUCUGUAGCAAGGUUAACCGAAUAGGGGAGCCGAAGGGAAACCGAGUCUUAACUGGGCGUUAAGUUGCAGGGUAUAGACCCGAAACCCGGUGAUCUAGCCAUGGGCAGGUUGAAGGUUGGGUAACACUAACUGGAGGACCGAACCGACUAAUGUUGAAAAAUUAGCGGAUGACUUGUGGCUGGGGGUGAAAGGCCAAUCAAACCGGGAGAUAGCUGGUUCUCCCCGAAAGCUAUUUAGGUAGCGCCUCGUGAAUUCAUCUCCGGGGGUAGAGCACUGUUUCGGCAAGGGGGUCAUCCCGACUUACCAACCCGAUGCAAACUGCGAAUACCGGAGAAUGUUAUCACGGGAGACACACGGCGGGUGCUAACGUCCGUCGUGAAGAGGGAAACAACCCAGACCGCCAGCUAAGGUCCCAAAGUCAUGGUUAAGUGGGAAACGAUGUGGGAAGGCCCAGACAGCCAGGAUGUUGGCUUAGAAGCAGCCAUCAUUUAAAGAAAGCGUAAUAGCUCACUGGUCGAGUCGGCCUGCGCGGAAGAUGUAACGGGGCUAAACCAUGCACCGAAGCUGCGGCAGCGACACUAUGUGUUGUUGGGUAGGGGAGCGUUCUGUAAGCCUGUGAAGGUGGCCUGUGAGGGUUGCUGGAGGUAUCAGAAGUGCGAAUGCUGACAUAAGUAACGAUAAAGCGGGUGAAAAGCCCGCUCGCCGGAAGACCAAGGGUUCCUGUCCAACGUUAAUCGGGGCAGGGUGAGUCGACCCCUAAGGCGAGGCCGAAAGGCGUAGUCGAUGGGAAACAGGUUAAUAUUCCUGUACUUGGUGUUACUGCGAAGGGGGGACGGAGAAGGCUAUGUUGGCCGGGCGACGGUUGUCCCGGUUUAAGCGUGUAGGCUGGUUUUCCAGGCAAAUCCGGAAAACUAAGGCUGAGGCGUGAUGACGAGGCACUACGGUGCUGAAGCAACAAAUGCCCUGCUUCCAGGAAAAGCCUCUAAGCAUCAGGUAACAUCAAAUCGUACCCCAAACCGACACAGGUGGUCAGGUAGAGAAUACCAAGGCGCUUGAGAGAACUCGGGUGAAGGAACUAGGCAAAAUGGUGCCGUAACUUCGGGAGAAGGCACGCUGAUAUGUAGGUGAAGCCACUUGCUCGUGGAGCUGAAAUCAGUCGAAGAUACCAGCUGGCUGCAACUGUUUAUUAAAAACACAGCACUGUGCAAACACGAAAGUGGACGUAUACGGUGUGACGCCUGCCCGGUGCCGGAAGGUUAAUUGAUGGGGUUAGCGGUAACGCGAAGCUCUUGAUCGAAGCCCCGGUAAACGGCGGCCGUAACUAUAACGGUCCUAAGGUAGCGAAAUUCCUUGUCGGGUAAGUUCCGACCUGCACGAAUGGCGUAAUGAUGGCCAGGCUGUCUCCACCCGAGACUCAGUGAAAUUGAACUCGCUGUGAAGAUGCAGUGUACCCGCGGCAAGACGGAAAGACCCCGUGAACCUUUACUAUAGCUUGACACUGAACAUUGAGCCUUGAUGUGUAGGAUAGGUGGGAGGCUUUGAAGUGUGGACGCCAGUCUGCAUGGAGCCGACCUUGAAAUACCACCCUUUAAUGUUUGAUGUUCUAACGUUGGCCCCUGAUCGGGGUUGCGGACAGUGUCUGGUGGGUAGUUUGACUGGGGCGGUCUCCUCCUAAAGAGUAACGGAGGAGCACGAAGGUUGGCUAAUCCUGGUCGGACAUCAGGAGGUUAGUGCAAUGGCAUAAGCCAGCUUGACUGCGAGCGUGACGGCGCGAGCAGGUGCGAAAGCAGGUCAUAGUGAUCCGGUGGUUCUGAAUGGAAGGGCCAUCGCUCAACGGAUAAAAGGUACUCCGGGGAUAACAGGCUGAUACCGCCCAAGAGUUCAUAUCGACGGCGGUGUUUGGCACCUCGAUGUCGGCUCAUCACAUCCUGGGGCUGAAGUAGGUCCCAAGGGUAUGGCUGUUCGCCAUUUAAAGUGGUACGCGAGCUGGGUUUAGAACGUCGUGAGACAGUUCGGUCCCUAUCUGCCGUGGGCGCUGGAGAACUGAGGGGGGCUGCUCCUAGUACGAGAGGACCGGAGUGGACGCAUCACUGGUGUUCGGGUUGUCAUGCCAAUGGCACUGCCCGGUAGCUAAAUGCGGAAGAGAUAAGUGCUGAAAGCAUCUAAGCACGAAACUUGCCCCGAGAUGAGUUCUCCCUGACUCCUUGAGAGUCCUGAAGGAACGUUGAAGACGACGACGUUGAUAGGCCGGGUGUGUAAGCGCAGCGAUGCGUUGAGCUAACCGGUACUAAUGAACCGUGAGGCUUAACCUU
rnacentral:rRNA from 1 species